rnacentral:rRNA from 1 species
CUGCAGCCCGAGUAGUGAUCGUUAUUAUUGGGCCUAAAACGUCCGUAGCCUGUUUGGUAAAUGCUUGGGUAAAUCGUGUGGCUUAACCAUACGAAUACCGGGUAGACUGCCAGACUUGAGACCGGGAGAGGUUGGAGGUACUCCUGGGGUAGAGGUGAAAUUCUGUAAUCCUGGGGGGACCACCAGUGGCGAAGGCGUCCAACCAGAACGGGUCUGACGGUGAGGGACGAAGCCCUGGGGCGCAAACCGGAUUAGAUACCCGUGUAGUCC